rnacentral:rRNA from 1 species
AUUGAACGCUGGCGGCAGGCCUAACACAUGCAAGUCGAGCGGAUGAAGGGAGCUUGCUCCUGGAUUCAGCGGCGGACGGGUGAGUAAUGCCUAGGAAUCUGCCUGGUAGUGGGGGAUAACGUCCGGAAACGGGCGCUAAUACCGCAUACGUCCUGAGGGAGAAAGUGGGGGAUCUUCGGACCUCACGCUAUCAGAUGAGCCUAGGUCGGAUUGGCUAGUUGGUGGGGUAAAGGCCUACCAAGGCGACGAUCCGUAACUGGUCUGAGAGGAUGAUCAGUCACACUGGAACUGAGACACGGUCCAGACCCCUACGGGAGGCAGCAGUGGGGAAUAUUGGACAAUGGGCGAAAGCCUGAUCCAGCCAUGCCGCGUGUGUGAAGAAGGUCUUCGGAUUGUAAAGCACUUUAAGUUGGGAGGAAGGGCAGUAAGUUAAUACCUUGCUGUUUUGACGUUACCAACAGAAUAAGCACCGGCUAACUUCGUG